GUGCAAUGGCAUAAGCCAGCUUGACUGCGAGCGUGACGGCGCGAGCAGGUGCGAAAGCAGGUCAUAGUGAUCCGGUGGUUCUGAAUGGAAGGGCCAUCGCUCAACGGAUAAAAGGUACUCCGGGGAUAACAGGCUGAUACCGCCCAAGAGUUCAUAUCGACGGCGGUGUUUGGCACCUCGAUGUCGGCUCAUCACAUCCUGGGGCUGAAGUAGGUCCCAAGGGUAUGGCUGUUCGCCAUUUAAAGUGGUACGCGAGCUGGGUUUAGAACGUCGUGAGACAGUUCGGUCCCUAUCUGCCGUGGGCGCUGGAGAACUGAGGGGGGCUGCUCCUAGUACGAGAGGACCGGAGUGGACGCAUCACUGGUGUUCGGGUUGUCAUGCCAAUGGCACUGCCCGGUAGCUAAAUGCGGAAGAGAUAAGUGCUGAAAGCAUCUAAGCACGAAACUUGCCCCGAGAUGAGUUCUCCCUGAGACUUUAGGUCUCCUGAAGGAACGUUGAAGACGACGACGUUGAUAGGCCGGGUGUGUAAGCGCAGCGAUGCGUUGAGCUAACCGGUACUAAUGAACCGUGAGGCUUAACCUU
rnacentral:rRNA from 1 species